UACGUAGGUGGCAAGCGUUGUUCGGAAUUAUUGGGCGUAAAGGGCUCGUAGGCGGUCUGUCGCGUCUGCUGUGAAAACCUGGGGCUUAACCCCGGGCCUGCAGUGGGUACGGGCAGACUAGAGUGCGGUAGGGGAGACUGGAAUUCCUGGUGUAGCGGUGAAAUGCGCAGAUAUCAGGAGGAACACCGAUGGCGAAGGCAGGUCUCUGGGCAUUAACUGACGCUGAGGAGCGAAAGCAUGGGGAGCGAACAGG
rnacentral:rRNA from 1 species